rnacentral:tRNA from 2 species
GCCGUCCUGCGGCGGGUGGCCGCCGGGGCGCCGCUGUGGCUGGCGCCGGGCGGCCGCCUGCUGUUCGAGACGAGCGGGCGGCA